UACGUAGGGUGCAAGCGUUGUCCGGAAUUAUUGGGCGUAAAGAGCUCGUAGGCGGUUUUGUUGCGUCGGCUGUGAAAUCCCGAGGCUCAACCUCGGGUCUGCAGUCGAUACGAGCAAACUAGAGUGUUGCAGGGGAGACUGGAAUUCCUGGUGUAGCGGUGAAAUGCGCAGAUAUCAGGAGGAACACCGGUGGCGAAGGCGGGGUCUCUGGGCAACAACUGACGCUGAGGAGCGAAAAGCGUGGGGGAGCGAACAGG
rnacentral:rRNA from 1 species